rnacentral:rRNA from 1 species
UUGAAAGGGAAACGAUUGAAGUCAGUCGUACCUGCGGGUAAUCAGCCUUUUGGGUAUGAUUCUGUGGAGCGUGAGGAGUUAAACGCCUUCAUGCCUGCAUAUUCGUGUACUUUGGGUGUACUUGCCUGUGUGGUUAGUUAACAUCAAUUUUGGUUAUCAUAAAAUGGCUGGAGGAAUGUAGCUUCGAUUUCGAUUGAAGUGUUAUAGCCUUCGGCAGAUGUGAUGAUCGGGAUUGAGGAUUGCAACGGAUACCUUUCGGGGCUACCUGUCUGAUCUCUGAUCGUUGCUUUGGUGCCGAAAGCGUGCUUACGGUUAUCAAAGUCGAUGGUCAAUAGGUUAGAACGGGUUAAAUUCGUUAAGGAUGUUGACGUA